rnacentral:tRNA from 1 species
UUCCGUUGAACGCCGAGGGUCAUCACACUGGACGUGCGGCACUUCACCGUGCGUACGAACUGGCGCAUCACAUCCCCGGCCUGCGGCA